rnacentral:rRNA from 1 species
UACGUAGGGUGCAAGCGUUGUCCGGAAUUAUUGGGCGUAAAGAGCUUGUAGGCGGUCUGUCGCGUCUGCUGUGAAAAUCCGGGGCUCAACCCCGGACUUGCAGUGGGUACGGGCAGACUAGAGUGCGGUAGGGGAGAUUGGAAUUCCUGGUGUAGCGGUGGAAUGCGCAGAUAUCAGGAGGAACACCAAUGGCGAAGGCAGAUCUCUGGGCCGUAACUGACGCUGAGGAGCGAAAGCAUGGGGAGCGAACAGG